UACGGGGGGAGCAAGCGUUGUUCGGAUUUACUGGGCGUAAAGGGCGCGUAGGCGGCCACCGCAAGUCGGUUGUGAAAUCUCUGGGCUUAACCCAGAAAGGUCAACCGAUACUGCGGGGCUAGAGUGCAGAAGGGGCAACUGGAAUUCUCGGUGUAGCGGUGAAAUGCGUAGAUAUCGUAAGGAAGACCAGUGGCGAAGGCGGGUCUCUGGACAGUUCCUGACGCUGAUGCACGAAAGCUAGGGGAGCAAACAGG
rnacentral:rRNA from 1 species